CGGGGUCAACCACGGCUACCAGCAUGAACAACGGCGCUUCACAACACCGUCUGAACUGACCAGUCUGGUCAAAUUCUGGACUGGAUGGGAGACUCUACCAAGAACUCUCUCCUCAGAAGUAGUGAAUGGCAGAUACCUGACAGCCUACACCUGCUAUGAGACCUUACAUUCCCAGGACAUUACAAGGACUACACAUCAUUUAAGACUGACAUCCUGGCCUGUAUUUGCACCAGCCAGUCAAGAUAUGUUAGGUGUUGUUCUCUAGUUAGUUUUACUUGACUGACAAAACUAAGUGCACUUUUGGAUUCCCUACCUGUUCUUCCAACUCACCUGACAGGUUAUCUGGCUCAAGUAUGCGUGUUUCUGCCAUACAUUUAAAGUAUCUGAAGUUAAGAAUAUUUCUGGUGAACAAUACAUGCAAUCACGGCAUUAAAGCAGGAGUUAAAAAUGAA